AAGUUGAUGUAUUAAUGAUAUGAACAUGACAUGGAAAUACUCUUUAAAUGUUUAUUAAUAAUUAGCUGUUUUGUAUGUCGUUUUUGUUAUUUAUCGUCUCUCGUCUGUGAAAUUGAUAGAGGUCGGACAAGUUAUAAAGUUGUUUGUGGGUCUGUUUUUUACGUGGUGUGUCGUCCACAUGCUAAGAUGGUUUAGGUAGCCAAACUGAAGCUAAAAUCCAAAUGGUUGUAUUCUAAGGAACUGAAUAUCUUAAAAGUUGAUAAAGACAUCAGUAUGACAAUUAUUGUUAAUCUUUUUUCUUCUGGAAUUGAUUUCUUUUUGACUAAGAAAUGGAUAUUGUUAGUUUUCAUACUCUCCAGACCACAAAAGGACCUUUUGAAUGGUAAUGUUGGAAUCUGAAAAAGUUGAAAUUGGAAAAUCUGGAAACAGGAAAUCUGGAAUCUCUAUUUGUAUUUCUAGAUAUAAAAUAGUAUUUCUUUGUGCUAUUAUAGAUUUUUCACAAGUUCCUGCAAAUAUAUUGCUAUUUAGUCUAUUUUUUCUAUGUCUUAAUUCUUUUCUUUUUGCAAUAAUUAUUUUAUUAAGUUCUUGUUUAUAUUCGUUAUUCAUCGUAUUUUUAAAUAUUUAAUAUAUUUAUAUUCUAAUUUAGAAAUAAUAUCUACCAUUUCUUCUAAUUCUUCAUUUUUUGUAAUAUUAAGUUCUUUAUAUUUUGGAUAUAAUUUGUCUAAUUUUCUUUUUAUUUUUCUUAUCUUUCUGUUGAUACCAUACUUGUUUUUAUUUUUCAUAGCUCUGAUACCAUUUUUGGGGGUGCGGAAUUCAU
rnacentral:misc_RNA from 1 species